CUGUUUUCGACCACUGGCCAUCCUGGGACACUCUCCCUCUCCAGACUCUCGGGGCCUCAUUGCAGAUGAUUUGGAUCUGGAUCUUCAUCCUCCAGAAGUCCCAGCCUCCUCCUCUUCGGUCUCUCCCUCUGUGUCUGUUCCUUGAUGUGGUUGAGCUCCAGCAGCCCGUCCUGCAGGUCCCUACACACUUCUCGAAUUUUAGCAGCAAACUCCGUCUUGGCGCCCUUCUUCAACUCCAUGGAGUCCUUUGCCAGGAAAAAGACAUCGAGGGCCAGGAAGAGACCUGACAUAACUCCAGUGGUGACGCUCAUCACCUGGGCAGCUUUAGCAGCGCCACCUGCAACGCUGAGGACCUGAACGAAACUCCAGACACUCCUUGAUGUCCUUCAUCUCCUCCUGGUAGUCCUGGAUCAUCUUCUCCACUUUCUUGCGGUCUGUCUUUGAAUGGACUGUGUCUGUGAUGUUGGCCG